rnacentral:rRNA from 1 species
UGGGGAAUAUUGCACAAUGGGCGCAAGCCUGAUGCAGCCAUGCCGCGUGUGUGAAGAAGGCCUUCGGGUUGUAAAGCACUUUCAGCGGGGAGGAAGGCGAUAAGGUUAAUAACCUCAUCGAUUGACGUUACCCGCAGAAGAAGCACCGGCUAACUCCGUGCCAGCAGCCGCGGUAAUACGGAGGGUGCAAGCGUUAAUCGGAAUUACUGGGCGUAAAGCGCACGCAGGCGGUCUGUCAAGUCGGAUGUGAAAUCCCCGGGCUCAACCUGGGAACUGCAUUUGAAACUGGCAGGCUAGAGUCUUGUAGAGGGGGGUAGAAUUCCAGGUGUAGCGGUGAAAUGCGUAGAGAUCUGGAGGAAUACCGGUGGCGAAGGCGGCCCCCUGGACAAAGACUGACGCUCAGGUGCGAAAGCGUGGGGAGCAAACAGG